UCGAGAAUUUUUCUCAAUGGGGGAAACCCUGAAGGAGCGACGCCGCGUGGAGGAUGAAGGCUUUCGGGUUGUAAACUCCUGUCAUUUGGGAACAAAGCCUUACGUUAACUGCGUGGAGGUUUGAUAGUACCGAAAGAGGAAGAGACGGCUAACUCUGUGCCAGCAGCCGCGGUAAUACAGAGGUCUCAAGCGUUGUUCGGAUUUAUUGGGCGUAAAGGGCGCGUAGGCGGCGGGGUAAGUCGGGUGUGAAAUCUCAGGGCUCAACCCUGAAACUGCACUUGAUACUGCUCUGCUUGAGGACUGGAGAGGAGACUGGAAUUCACGGUGUAGCAGUGAAAUGCGUAGAUAUCGUGAGGAAGACCAGUGGCGAAGGCGGGUCUCUGGACAGUUCCUGACGCUGAGGCGCGAAGGCCAGGGGAGCAAACG
rnacentral:rRNA from 1 species